CAUUCCCUACCACAGAGAUCAUUGUCAAGCAGGUGCUGUGUGGUUCAUUCUCUGAGGGCUAAAGAAAACUUUUUUUUUUUUUUUUGGUAUUCAUACGGUAUCCAGGUUACAUCUUGAUAAUUACUUUAAAACUAGGAGUAAAAAAAUGGCAGAUGGAAUGUUGUUGCUUUUCCUUUUUCCUCCUCUUCUCCCUUUAUGUCUUCACAUUGUCAGGAUGGCUCCAUCCAUUUAGAUGGCAAGGCGGUUCUGAAUGAAGGCAGCCCUGCACCUUCCGCAGCCAUCCCUCCAGUUCAAUUAUGGUGCUUUAGCGGGGCUAAUUAGCAUUCCUCAGAGCUGGAGCUCUUUGAGUGACAGGUAACCAUGGAGAGUCACACUCUGGGUGAUCAGCAAGAAUCUAGCUUUUCUUUUUAAUUAAAAAUUAGAAAAGCCUUAAAGAAAAAGGAGAGCAUUUACUGAUGUGAGCUGCUAGCCCACGGCUUCUGCUGUCUAACGGGUAGCAAUGGUGUCAGAGGCAAGUGGGGACCGUUUCAAAAGGGAUCCAGGGGAAUACCACAAUGGUCUGAAACAGGAAAAAUGUUUAUCAUUCUGCUCUGAAAAUGGACAUCUGAAAGAAAGCAUGAAAAGACAAAGGAUCUGGGGUUCUUCUAAUGUCGCCAUGUUUUCAGAGUUUGAAAAAUAGCACUGUAUUCAACAACACCUUUCUCUGCCUCUGAUAAAAAUAUUAGAAUUUGCACUUGGGGAUAGUAUAUUCAGUUAUUAAAUGAUACAUGUUUAGUAAAUGAUGCUUGGUGGGGGAUAAAAAAUGUGACUGCAAAGUGCAAAUAUUAACAAUCAUUUCAGUCCUGAGAAAUAUGUAAAAGCCCCAUAGUCUGUAAGCAUGUGACCUGCUCCUAGGACCGAGGGCAACGGGCAGUGUGUGCCUUUCCAACGGAGUGAAUACAUAAGCAGGUCAGAGAGGUGAAUGAAAAAUUGUCAUCUUAGCUCACUGGCCCACAUUCCAGAAAAAGGCGAGAAAUUUUGGAAUGCUUUAAAAAAGCAUCUGAUAAUUUUCCUACUCAAAACCACGCAAGUAAACAAUCCGGAUAAUCAAAAUCGGCUUUCGUUUUUCCCAAAUUGAAAAGAAAAGGCUUUAUUUCCUUGCUGCUUAUAUUCAGCUUUAAAAAAAAAAAAAAAUUGAACUUGAACAUGCCUCUCCCUUUCCUGUUUUUACCCAAAUGUAAAAUUGUAAAAACAGUCAGUAGUGUUAUUUCUGGCCAGCAUCAAGCCUGGAAGCUCUCACAGUCUUGAGGGAGUGUCUGAUCCGAAGAGCUUCCCAGCCACACUUCUGCUACAGAGAUUGAGAAAAAAACUCAUUCUUCAAAAUAGACUUUUCUCAAUCCAAGUGUGACAUGGAGGCCUAAAGGAUGAAUCAGACUUCCAGAGUGUGGGGUUAUAAGUCACCUAGAACAAGGGAAUGAGUCUCUUGACAGCGAACACAUGCUUAAUGAGUGAGUACUCCGCAUUUCCAGCUUGGAGACUCUUUUUUUGUUCAAGUGACCAACCCCCAUGACUGCGAAUUCCACAGUCAUUCUUAGUCUUCAUGGUGUGCAGAUUGGGAGGAAACAACUUUUCAAUUUACAUAGUUUCA
ensembl:lncRNA